AUGAACGCUGGCGGCGUGCCUAAUACAUGCAAGUCGAGCGAACAGAUGAGGAGCUUGCUCCUCUGACGUUAGCGGCGGACGGGUGAGUAACACGUGGAUAACCUACCUAUAAGACUGGGAUAACUUCGGGAAACCGGAGCUAAUACCGGAUAAUAUAUUGAACCGCAUGGUUCAAUAGUGAAAGACGGUUUUGCUGUCACUUAUAGAUGGAUCCGCGCCGCAUUAGCUAGUUGGUAAGGUAACGGCUUACCAAGGCAACGAUGCGUAGCCGACCUGAGAGGGUGAUCGGCCACACUGGAACUGAGACGCGGUCCAGACUCCUACGGGAGGCAGCAGUAGGGAAUCUUCCGCAAUGGGCGAAAGCUUGACGGAGCAACGCCGCGUGAGUGAUGAAGGUCUUCGGAUCGUAAAACUCUGUUAUUAGGGAAGAACAAAUGUGUAAGUAACUAUGCACGUCUUGACGGUACCUAAUCAGAAAGCCACGGCUAACUACGUG
rnacentral:rRNA from 1 species